rnacentral:rRNA from 1 species
UACGUAGGUGGCAAGCGUUGUCCGGAUUUAUUGGGUUUAAAGGGUGCGUAGGCGGCUUUGUAAGUCAGUGGUGAAAUAUGGCAGCUCAACUGUCAAGGUGCCAUUGAUACUGCGGAGCUUGAGUACAGAUGAGGUAGGCGGAAUUGACGGUGUAGCGGUGAAAUGCUUAGAUAUCGUCAAGAACACCUAUAGCGAAGGCAGCUUACUAGGCUGUAACUGACGCUGAGGCACGAAAGCUAGGGUAGCAAACGGG